rnacentral:rRNA from 1 species
AGAAUCAACGCUGGCGGCGUGCCUAACACAUGCAAGUCGAACGAGAAAGUGGAGCAAUCCAUGAGUAAAGUGGCGCACGGGUGAGUAACACGUGACUAACCUACCCUUGAGUGGGGGAUAACCUAGGGAAACCUGGGCUAAUACCGCAUAAUACCUUCGGGUCAAAGGAGCAAUUCGCUUAAGGAGGGGGUCGCGGCCGAUUAGUUAGUUGGCGGGGUAAUGGCCCACCAAGACUGUGAUCGGUAUCCGGCCUGAGAGGGCGCACGGACACACUGGAACUGAAACACGGUCCAGACUCCUACGGGAGGCAGCAGUGGGGAAUUUUGCGCAAUGGGGGAAACCCUGACGCAGCAACGCCGCGUGGAGGAUGAAGUCCCUUGGGACGUAAACUCCUUUCGAUCGGGACGAUUAUGACGGUACCGGAAGAAGAAGCCCCGGCUAACUUCGUGCCAGCAGCCGC